rnacentral:rRNA from 2 species
UACGGAGGGGGCCAGCGUUGUUCGGAAUCAUUGGGCGUAAAGGGCGCGUAGGCGGCCAAUCAAGUCCGACGUGAAAUUCCUCGGCUCAACCGAGGGCCUGCGUCGGAUACUGCUUGGCUUGAGUCCCGGAGAGGGUAGUGGAAUUCCCAGUGUAGCGGUGAAAUGCGUAGAUACUGGGAGGAACACCGGUGGCGAAGGCGGCUACCUGGACGGGUACUGACGCUGAGGCGCGAAAGCUAGGGGAGCAAACAGG